rnacentral:rRNA from 1 species
CGUAGGUGCAAGCGUUGUCCGGAAUUAUUGGGCGUAAGAGCUCGUAGGCGGUGUGUCGCGUCUGCCGUGAAACCUGCGGCUUAACCGUGGGCGUGCGGUGGAUACGGGCACACUUGAGUUCGGUAGGGAGACUGGAAUUCCUGGUGUAGCGGUGGAAUGCGCAGAUAUCAGGAGGAACACCAGUGGCGAAGGCGGGUCUCUGGGCCGAAACUGACGCUGAGGAGCGAAAGCGUGGGGAGCGAACAGGAUU